GGGAGGGAAACAUCAGUGAGGGAGAAGCAUUGAUCAGUUACCUCUCCUGUAUGCCCCAGCUGGGGACUGAACCCGCAACCCAGGCACGGCGGGGGGCGCCGCCUUCAUUCCUGCUGCGUCCGGCUGAUGGGGCUUCCGUGAGCGCGGCGAGCUGCGGGAGCCCUGGUGGCAGCCUCCCAGAGUGGCGACCCCUUCGCCUGCCGCAGCCGCCCCUCUGGCUGCUGGGAAGGAGCGUCCUCUCCCCGGGAGCGGGGGGCCUGGCUCCGGACCUCGCCGGCUGCACAAAUCUUCCUGGAACCACAUAUUUUUAAAGCGAUGGUGCGCUCUGCGCGAGGACCCCCGCGCUCAGACUGGGAAGGUCUGCACUCCUUACUGUUGCUGUUGAGGGGCCCCGGCCGGGGGUCUGACGCGCUCCGGAUGGAAACACCGGCGUCUUCGCGUCUCACCCUGGCGGCAGCCGCAGGUGGCGGAAAGUAGUUCAGGCUCAUCACGACUGGGAGAGCACGCGGUUGGCGCCAUCGCCAGGUCUUGCUGUGGAGUCUUGUUUAAUGCCGCACGAAGAAAGCACGUGAGUGACCAGAUGAGGAAUUUGCUCUUUAACUGGGUUGAUGACUUCCGACGCAAAGACGAGUUCCGAGGCAAUCCUGUGUGUUUGACUUGAUGUCUUGGGCUGGCCCCAGAGUCUGCGUGUUUUUUUUCCUGGAAAAUGAAAGACCCAUUUUUUCAUGUUCACCGAUAAUGUCACUGAUUUCAAGUAUGUCGGCUCUCUCUCCCACGAGGUAUAACGUUGAUUGUUCUCAAUGAAUGUCUCAGUUUGGUCGCUGUCGAGUCCAACUGGUCUACCCGACCGGGGAGCACCGUCCAGCGAGAAAUCUGCAGCGCGGAACCCCGCACCCCACUCCCGACACGUUCGCUCAGCCACAGCAUCUUCUCCAGACGCUGCACAAAACUACUUUUUUUUUGUUUCAAUUAUGUUUUUACCUUUCUUGAAAUAAUAAAGCAUGA